rnacentral:rRNA from 1 species
AGAGUUUGAUCAUGGCUCAGGAUGAACGCUAGCUACAGGCUUAACACAUGCAAGUCGAGGGGCAGCAUGUUGGUUGCUUGCAACCAACGAUGGCGACCGGCGCACGGGUGAGUAACGCGUAUCCAACCUACCCUUGUCCAUCGGAUAACCCGUCGAAAGGCGGCCUAACACGAUAUGCGGUUCACGGCAGGCAUCUAAGGUGAACGAAAUGUGAAGGAGAAGGAUGGGGAUGCGUCUGAUUAGCUUGGUUGGCGGGGUAACGGCCACCAAGGCUACGAUCAGUAGGGGUUCUGAGAGGAAGGUCCCCCANAUUGGAACUGAGACACGGUCCAAAACUCCUACGGGAGGCA